rnacentral:lncRNA from 1 species
UAGGGUGGGGACAGAGUCACAAAUGAUGACAGGGAGGUUUGCCCUCUGCAGCUGAUGGACUCAUGGGAGAAAGACACAACAAUGAAAUGGCAAGAACUAAGAAAAAAUGAGGCAAGCUGAAUACCCAGCAAGAGAAUAUAAUGUGAUGACAGUUUCCAUCUUCUUUGGAGAGAGAGUUAUGAGUCUUGGGUGUGAAAGGCCCAGCACAAUGGAGACUGGUGGCAGCCCCCCCAUCGGCUCACCGCCUUCUUUAAAGUCCACAGAGGAUGGCAGUUUGGAUGGAAACCCCAAAAUCUAUUCUGUCCAUCUGUUUUAUUAUUCUUAGAACAACUGUCAAAAGUUGCCCAGGGAUCAAGUUGCAAACGUACUAAUUUGCCUUUGAAAAGUGGGCCCUGGGGGAAUUCUGGAACUCUGCUUAUAAAUGCAGAAUCCCCUCAGCCAGCCAGCCUGCCCUACCCUUUGUGGAGGUAUGAGACUUUGCACUUCCAGGCAUACAUCUGCCUCAAGGCUGGGAUGCCCUGAUAGACUUGCAUCCCACUUCAUAGGCAAAUGAAGGGGAGCCACAGGGACUUGGCAUCUUAAGGGCUGGCUUGUUCCCUGACAAGCAGACUGAGUGCUUUAGGAGGCAGCCCCUUCAUUGAUCAUGGGUGGAUGAAAGACCAAAGCUUUGUACUGGAGGGUUAAAGGCGUGAACGUGCAAAGGGAUACCCGUUCUGUACUCUUUUAU